rnacentral:lncRNA from 1 species
UGACCUUACAUGCUCCCUACUUGUUGGGGGAAACAAGAACCAGACUGGGGGAACUGAUGGGUACAGAGGCCCAGGUGUAGGGGCAGGACCAGAGGCAGUGCAGCGCCUACUGAGUCAGGCGGGUGAGAGUCUGGACGGUGGGCAUAGCUGCUGCAGGCAUGGAAAGGAGAAGAUGGCGGCACUCCCAGGGACCAUUGUUAGGCUCUCCAUAUGUGGACGUGUGCAGAGGUGGGGGUGCUGAGGAGGGAGGAGGUGCAGGGAAUUUCUCUUCUCCUCUCUACUGCCUCUGAGUUGGAGAUGUCAGAGGAAACCGUGGCCCAUUGUAAACUAACACAAUGUCCCCACUCACAGGGUUAGAACCGUGCCCUUGGAAGCAGCUCUGAGUGGAGCAUUCACGUGGGGAGAGGGCAGGACGCUGUGUCCAGCCGGGGGAAGGAGGUCACCAAGGGGGCUGACCCUCUUCUGGCCAGGUGGCUGCCUUCUGACACACCAGCCUGUCUGUCUAGCAUGGCUGGCCCACACACACCCAGCCUGUCAAACUUACAGCCCUCAGGAAGGCUUUGGCCAAUUAACGAGUGGCGCUCUCUCCCAGGAGGAAGGGCGGCUAAAGGAUGGGGAGGGCAGUAGAACCCUGUACGCUCUGCCCCCUCCCUCCACAGCUGGACUGGAAGAAACGGGGCUUUCAGACACGCUUGCCCAGGCUGGGGUCUGAGUGUCACUUUCCAGACAAUGGCUUCUUGCUUAAUGGGUGAGCCCAGUUGUUGCUGUGCAGCUGCCACCCUAGUGAGGGUGAAUGAGCAGGAGGCUCCGCUGCACUUCCAGGCUCAGGCUGCCUGGCUAGAUCUGCUCUGCGGAAACUGUAGGCUGAUAGGGGCUACCAGGAGGAGGAGGGGAUGCAGCCGCCAGCCCCCACCCAUGCGAAUCGUAUUUCUAAAAGCUUAGGUAUACAGUAAAUAUUAGGUCCUGGGCUGCUGGGCCAGGAAGGGGUAUUGUCCUCCUAUUUUUCAGGGUUUAUUUAUUUAAUGAAGGAGGGUUAUAGGUACAACCAGUUUAAAGAUGGAUGGAAAUUUUUAGAGUGCAGGCUGGGAUUUAGGGUAAGCCAAGCAGACUUGUCCAAGCAGCUCUUUUGGGGAGGCCAGAGUCCUGUACCAAUGUCCUCAGGCACGUUCAGCAGCUGCUGGGGGAGUGCUGGACAGGAUUAAAGCACAGGAGAACUUUCUGGAUGAUAGAAAUGCUCUGUAUCUUGAAAGGAGGUAGGUUACAUGGGUAAUGCAUUUGUUAAAACUUAUCAAAAUGUACACUUCAAAUCUGUGCAUUUCACUGAAUAUAAAUUAUACCUCCAACUAAAAACAUUUUUUGAAAGACAGAUGGGCCAGGCGCGGUGGCACAUGCCUGUAAUCCCAGCACCUUGGGAGGCCGAGGUGGGCGGAUCACAAGGUCAAGAGAUUGAGACCAUUCUGGCAAACAUGGUGAAACCCCAUCUCCACUAAAAAUACAAAAAAUUAGCUGGGUGUGGUGGCACGCGCCUGUAGUCCCAGCUACUCAGGAGGCUGAGGCAAGAGAAUCGCUUGAACCCAGGAGGUGGAAGUCGCAGUGAGCCAAGAUCACGCCACUGCACUCUAGCCUGGCCUGGCGACAGAGUGAGGCUCUGUCUCAAAAAAAAAAAAAAAAAAAA